UUCCUAGUAUUAAUUAAAUUGUAAUUAUUUCACAAAUUUUUUAAAUGAAUGAGGGUGAUAAAAAACCUAAGAAGCAAAUAAAAUAGAGAAUCUUAUUGUUAAACUAUUGAUGUGUCUCUCCUAUAUAUUAUGCCACGUGGCACUCAUAUAAAAAGCGACAUGGCAGCAUGACAUUAAGCUACUUUAUUGCUUAGCUUUAUUAUAUUUAUAUGAGUAUAGAUAUAGAUGAGGAGUCUAUUAUAACCUGGGUGCAUGCAAAC
rnacentral:misc_RNA from 1 species